AUUGAACGCUGGCGGCAUGCCUUACACAUGCAAGUCGAACGGCAGCACGGGAGCAAUCCUGGUGGCGAGUGGCGAACGGGUGAGUAAUAUAUCGGAACGUGCCCGGUCGUGGGGAUAACGUAGCGAAAGCUACGCUAAUACCGCAUACGAUCUACGGAUGAAAGCGGGGGAUCGCAAGACCUCGCGCGAUUGGAGCGGCCGAUAUCAGAUUAGGUAGUUGGUGAGGUAAAGGCUCACCAAGCCGACGAUCUGUAGCUGGUCUGAGAGGACGACCAGCCACACUGGGACUGAGACACGGCCCAGACUCCUACGGGAGCAGCAGUGGGGAAUUUUGGACAAUGGGCGCAAGCCUGAUCCAGCAAUGCCGCGUGCAGGAUGAAGGCCU
rnacentral:rRNA from 1 species